UCUGCGGGAGCGGUGCUGGGGCUGGGGCUGCUGCGCCUCCCGCUGCCUGCUGCGGCCCCGGGGUGGCAGUGCUGGCAGUAGCCAGGGCCCGGCCCGGGAAGAGUCCCAGAGGAAGAGGACCCCUCAACAAACCCCAGCUUAGCGAGGGCGGUGAAAGCAGCAGUGCUUCCAGUCUGCAUCAGAAUCCUACAGGAAAUGCAGCCUCAUGCCUGCAGUGGCCCAGGCCAGAGGCCAGGAGGUGUUAGAGAGCACCUUCCUGCUUGGGUGGAGAAGACAGCUUGAGCCAAGGCCAGCCCGCCCACCCUGCAAAGGAGAGCCUCUACAGGAUAAUUGAACAAGAAGAAAGCAUCCAGCUAAAAAGGAAAUAAAGAGAAAGACAAGGAAUUGUGGGCAAGGAGAGAAGAUUUACAUGCUGAAGUGUAAAACUGCAAUUAUGUAUUUCAUAUGUUUAUAUGACAUUCAUCGUGCCAAGUUAAGUGCUUUGGAAGGAUAAAUAUGACUUACUAGCAUCUGACUCAUGAUACCAAUGAAUAUUAAAGCCAAGAUGCAACAAACAGCCUAACUCAGUUAUUUGUGGCACAUUAAGAGAAAGUUGCAAUUCAUCACAACAGAUGACUGAAAAACAGUUCCUGCUAUAACUUUUUACAGUCACUAUAACUACCUCUGCUAGUAGCUUGUGUGAUUUCUCAAGAAAAUAUAUCUUAUAUGCUGAUUACUAAAGCAUUCUCUGCAUCAUACACUCACAUUCUGGUAAAAAAAAGGGACGUGUUUUUGGUUUAAUUUAUUAAACUUAAUCUUUACCAUUCCUUCCUAGUCAAUUGCUUGGGAACCUGGGCUUUAUAUUCCUCAAGUAGUUUUUCUGACAGUGGUAAAUCUUUGCCUACAGUAAACUGUUCAAAACUGAAGAACCAUUAAACCAUUAAGAACCCCAUAAAAUGAAGAUGUAUGAUGGCCAUCCUGAAGAGGCUGUUUCAAAAUCAAGGGCCUAGGGGA